rnacentral:rRNA from 1 species
CCUACGGGCGGCAGCAGUGGGGAAUUUUCCGCAAUGGGCGAAAGCCUGAUGCAGCCAUGCCGCGUGUAUGAAGAAGGCCUUCGGGUUGUAAAGUACUUUCAGCGGGGAGGAAGGCGAUAAGGUUAAUAGCCUUGUCGAUUGACGUUACCCGCAGAAGAAGCACCGGCUAACUCCGUGCCAGCAGCCGCGGUAAUACGGAGGGUGCAAGCGUUAAUCGGAAUUACUGGGCGUAAAGCGCACGCAGGCGGUCUGUCAAGUCGGAUGUGAAAUCCCCGGGCUCAACCUGGGAACUGCAUUCGAAACUGGCAGGCUAGAGUCUUGUAGAGGGGGGUAGAAUUCCAGGUGUAGCGGUGAAAUGCGUAGAGAUCUGGAGGAAUACCGGUGGCGAAGGCGGCUCCCUGGACAAAGACUGACGCUCAGGUGCGAAAGCGUGGGGAGCAAACAGGAUUAGAUACCCCAGUAGUC